GGGAGUAGGACUGUAGUUUUAGGUGGAAUGAUGAGGAUGAAUAGGUCACCUUUCACAAUGUUACAGUGACAUGGGCUAGAACUUCAGGCUCUGAUCUUAAAUUUAUGAUGGCAGAUCAACCUCUUCCACUUGAACUUGUGUUGAUUUCACCACCUGUUUUCCCAACAUUUUGGCUGUUCGAUCCAUCUUCGUUCCUUUUUCUUUUUUGUUUUUUUCUAUCUAAUUGUUUUCUAUGUUGGUUAAUUGAGUAGAACAUUUUAAACGUUAGUCUGGGAGUAAGGUUCACCAUGCUAACAUCCAGGCUUCCAAGGUUGUUCCUGGUAUUAUUCGUAUCAUGUUGGCCCAAGAUCUAUGUUGAAGAUGUUACUUGAUGCUCAAGGAGAUUUUUUUUUUUUCCCCUUUUCUUUUAAUUGUUUGAUGACUAUAUGAAUCUCUUUUUGUAUUUCUGUCGAAAGUGACAAUAUUUUGUCACUGUUUAAAUGUUUCAAGUAGAUUCCAAUAAUUUCCCAUCUUCUGAAACUUUCAAACGAAUAUGGUUUUUUAAUUUUAUUGCUCUGCUGCGAGUCAAUUGUUGACUACUCUCUCUGGAUUCAACAACUUCAAAUUUAUGAGUCCAUUUCUCAUAGGUUCUUCCAUCAUCCCACCAGUAAUCUUACUUCGAUCCCCUUGUUUUUUUUCUUGGGUGUUGUUAGUUUGAUUGGCUUCUGUUUGUGUUUGAUUUGACUUUAGGGGUUUUGUUUACUUCUAGUUUUCCCUCUUUUCUGUUUUCUAGAUUUUAUUUUUAUGUUGUUGUUGUUUUACUUAACUAAUGUGUUCAUUUGAAUUCAUGAGUGGCGCUUUUUUUAAUUUUCUUGUUUCAAAACCUUGUGCUUUCACUCCCCUUUUGUCUAGUUUUGUGAUCUUCAUUUAUCCUUGAAUCUCUGAAUCUGCAAGUUAUGUAAGAAAGCAUGACAUUUUUCAGGUGAAUGAAUGAAAGAUUUGGUGUUUA